AUUGAACGCUGGCGGAAUGCUUUACACAUGCAAGUCGAACGGUAGAGGGGGGCAACCCCCUUGAGAGUGGCGAACGGGUGAGUAAUAUAUCGGAACGUGCCCAGUCGUGGGGGAUAACGUAGCGAAAGUUACGCUAAUACCGCAUACGAUCUAAGGAUGAAAGCGGGGGAUCGCAAGACCUCGCGCGACUGGAGCGGCCGAUAUCAGAUUAGGUAGUUGGUAGGGUAAAGGCCUACCAAGCCAACGAUCUGUAGCUGGUCUGAGAGGACGACCAGCCACACUGGAACUGAGACACGGUCCAGACUCCUACGGGAGGCAGCAGUGGGGAAUUUUGGACAAUGGGCGAAAGCCUGAUCCAGCCAUUCCGCGUGCAGGAUGAAGGCCCUCGGGUUGUAAACUGCUUUUGUACAGAACGAAAAGGUCUCUAUUAAUACUAGGGGCUCAUGACGGUACUGUAAGAAUAAGCACCGGCUAACUACGUG
rnacentral:rRNA from 1 species